AUUGCUUCUCGGCAUUUUGGCUAAGAUCAAGUAUAAUAUCUAUUCUUAACAGUUUAAAAAGAUAAUCCAAAGUAAAGAUACACAUUUUAAGAAAAUUAUACGUGGGCCUACA
ensembl:snRNA U2 U2 spliceosomal RNA